GACGAACGCUGGCGGCGUGCUUAACACAUGCAAGUCGAACGGAAAGGCCCUGCUUUUGUGGGUUGCUCGAGUGGCGAACGGGUGAGUAACACGUGAGUAACCUGCCCUUGACUUUGGGAUAACUUCAGGAAACUGGGGCUAAUACCGGAUAUGAGCUCCUGCUGCAUGGUGGGGGUUGGAAAGUUUCGGCGGUUGGGGAUGGACUCGCGGCUUAUCAGCUUGUUGGUGGGGUAGUGGCUUACCAAGGGUUUGACGGGUAGCCGGCAUGAGAGGGUGACCGGCCACAUUGGGACUGAGAGACGGCGCAGAAUGCUACGGGAGGCAGCAGUGGGGAAUAUUGCACAAUGGGGGGAAGCCUGAUGCAGCAACGCCGCGUGCGGGAUGACGGCCUUCGGGUUGUAAACCGCUUUCGCCUGUGACGAAGCGUGAGUGACGGUAAUGGGUAAAGAAGCACCGGCUAACUACGUG
rnacentral:rRNA from 1 species